UUAUGGAGAGUUUGAUCCUGGCUCAGGAUGAACGCUGGCGGCGUGCCUAAUACAUGCAAGUCGAGCGAACAGACGAGGAGCUUGCUCCUCUGACGUUAGCGGCGGACGGGUGAGUAACACGUGGGUAACCUACCUAUAAGACUGGGAUAACUCCGGGAAACCGGGGCUAAUACCGGAUAACACAUGAAACCGCAUGGUUUCAUGAUGAAAGACGGUUUUGCUGUCACUUAUAGAUGGACCCGCGGCGUAUUAGCUAGUUGGUAAGGUAACGGCUUACCAAGGCAACGAUACGUAGCCGACCUGAGAGGGUGAUCGGCCACACUGGAACUGAGACACGGUCCAGACUCCUACGGGAGGCAGCAGUAGGGAAUCUUCCGCAAUGGGCGAAAGCCUGACGGAGCAACGCCGCGUGAGUGAUGAAGGUCUUCGGAUCGUAAAACUCUGUUAUUAGGGAAGAACAAGGGUGUAAGUAACUAUGCACCCCUUGACGGUACCUAAUCAGAAAGCCACGGCUAACUACGUGCCAGCAGCCGCGGUAAUACGUAGGUGGCAAGCGUUAUCCGGAAUUAUUGGGCGUAAAGCGCGCGUAGGCGGUUUUUUAAGUCUGAUGUGAAAGCCCACGGCUCAACCGUGGAGGGUCAUUGGAAACUGGAAAACUUGAGUGCAGAAGAGGAAAGUGGAAUUCCAUGUGUAGCGGUGAAAUGCGCAGAGAUAUGGAGGAACACCAGUG
rnacentral:rRNA from 1 species